rnacentral:rRNA from 1 species
CGCUGAGGCACGAAAGCAUGGGUAGCGAACAGGAUUAGAUACCCUGGUAGUCCAUGCCGUAAACGAUGAUUACUCGCUGUUGGCGAUAUACAGUCAGCGGCCAAGCGAAAGCGUUAAGUAAUCCACCUGGGGAGUACGUCCGCAAGGAUGAAACUCAAAGGAAUUGACGGGGGCCCGCACAAGCGGUGGAGCAUGUGGUUUAAUUCGAUGAUACGCGA